UCCCCCCAGGUGGCCACAGGCGCCACCAAGCCAGUGGCACGUCCCAGCCUGGCCUCAGGCCACCCCUACAGCCCUGUGUGACCACAGCUCUGCUCAGCAGGACUUCUUGUGAUCCAGCCCCCAGCUGCUGGUGAGCUGACACCCAGCCUGGGCUCCACCUCAGCCCCAGCGAGGUGUCCCACGGCCCAGGCUGAGGCCACCCAACAGGCUGGACCCAGGGAGCCCUCACCACUGCUGGUGCCACAGCCACAGGGACCCUGCAGCUCACAGGGCACCUGGGCAGGUUUAACCAACGUGAGAAACCAAAGAUCAGCUUAAAACCACCAGCAGCUGUUUGCACAAGGAACGCCAGCAACAGCUUGAGCAAACGCACUAAGCGGCAAACAGGAUCCAAAGCCUGUGCUUACUCAAGCCUUCUGCAGAAGGUUUUAAGUAAUGGAUAGCAGAUCAUGAGAGACACUACCACAGAAGUUACCAGCAAAGGACAGGCAAAGUGUUGAGAGUAGAGAAGCACAAGGAAGGAAAGUCAGAACACCUAAUCAUUGCCUGCACAUAGUAAUGCAGCAGCAGUAGCCAGCUGGAGCUAUUUCUUCUUCAAAUAAAAGGUAAUUAUGCAAGAGACUACCCAGCUCAGCAGUGGGAAAGAAGACAACAUGCAUCUGAAAAGCUAUACUACUAAAUCAAAAACUUUCUGCUUAUACGUGGUUAGCAAGGGCAGCAAGGACUUCAAAACUGCAGAUGGAGAUCUUCAGAGGGAGGGCUGCAAAACUUCUGCAGAAUGACAGCAGCAGCCUGAUUUGACGAUGACCUAAAAAGGCUGCAGAAUCUCCCUUAGUCACCACACCUCCUGUAGGCAAGCCUCAAUGCACAGAGCCAAAGUAACUCAUGACAAACUCUGAGCUGAGACUUAGUA